UUGAAAGGGAAACGAUUGAAGUCAGUCGUACCUGUGGGUAAUCAGCCUUUUGGGUGUGAUUUUGUGGAGUGUGAGGAGUUAAACGCCUUCAUGCCUGCAUAUUCGUGCACUUUGGGUGUAUUUACCCGUGUGGUAAGUUAACAUCAAUUUCGGUGGUCAUAAAAUGGCUGGAGGAAUGUAGCUUCGAUCUUGUAUUGAAGUGUUAUAGCCUUUGGUAAAUGUGAUGAUUAGGAUCGAGGAUUGCAACGAAUACCCUUUUGGGCUAUCCGCCUGAUCUCUGAUACGUGGCCUUGGUAUCGAAAGCUUGCUUAUGGUAUUAAGGUAUUACGGUCAAAAGGUUAGAACGGAUUACAUUCGUUAAGGAUGUUGACGUA
rnacentral:rRNA from 1 species